CUGCAGGCAUUAUUAUUUAAAAGGGAUUGGGCUCAGAUUUAUUUCUCACCUCUUUAGCCCAAACGAAUAAAGAUUAAUUCAUUAAGAAUAGAACUCAUAUAUAUAAAUACCCAAAUUCAUUAUCUCCCUCAUCAUUCAACCUAACCUUAAUUAGAUUUGAGAGAAGCUCAUCCCACUCCCUACCUGACGCCACCGUCGCCAUCCUGCCGGCGCAGCCCCCGGCGGCGUCUCUCCGAUUCUCCCUCUCCUCUCUCUCUUUCCCCCUCCUCUAUCUCUCCCUCUCCCUCUCUUGGCUCCGCCGCCACCGCCCUCACUCUCUCUCGGAUCCGCCGCCGCCGCCACUGUGCAUGCACAGGCGGUGGCUUCGGCCUCCUCCGUUCCUCGUGCUGCCGGAGCAGCUUCCCGGCGCCACUCCAGCCCUGGCCGCUGCCUCCUCACCAAAUCCCGAGAGAUUUGUCAAGAUUGUGAAUUUCUAGCAGUCAUGGGGUGUGGGGCUGCCCUUGUCGUCUCCGGGCUGCUGAAGAGCCUUCGCCGGAAACCCGACAGAUUUGUACUAACGAGAUAAGCUUUCUCAUUCUUUCUAGUUAUUAAGGAACAUUCAUUUGCGGAUGUCGGUGACGUGUUGGACUUUGUUGGGAUGUGAACAGUGUCGUCAAAUGGGCUGCCCGAGACUUGCACGUCUUUUGCUUCCGAUUGUAAUAGGCUAGGCUUUGAUUAUUUUGUAAUAUUGGACUUGAGUCAUGUAUCGGAUAUUAAAAUUUUCUUUGAA